rnacentral:rRNA from 1 species
UGCGUGAAGUCGGAAUUGCUAGUAAUCGCAGAUCAGCAUGCUGCGGUGAAUACGUUCCCGGGCCUUGUACACACCGCCCGUCACACCAUGGGAGUCGGUAACACCCGAAGCCAGUAGCUGAACCGCAAGGGAGGCGCUGUCGAAGGUGGGAUUGAUGACUGGGGUGAAGUCGUAACAAGGUACC